rnacentral:lncRNA from 1 species
CCCAUGGGCCCUGCAGGAAGCCCCCCUGGUGGCUCCAUGAUGCCUGGUGUGGCAGGUGGCAGCUCUGCCUUGACCUCCCCGCAGUGCCUGGGACAGCAGGCGUUUGCCGAAGGCGGUGCUAGCAAGGGCUACGUACAGCAAGGCGUGUAUGGCCGAGGGGGCUACCCUGGGGGAUCCAGUUUCACUCCUGGGUAUGCAGGAGGCCCUGGAGGCCUGGGGCUCCCCACACAUGCAGCACGGCCCUCAACUGACUUCACACAAGCAGCAGCUGCAGCUGCCAUGGCUGCUGCUGCAGCUACGGCCACAGCCACAGCCACAGCUACUGUGGCUGCCCUGCAAGAGAAGCAGAGC